UCAGUUCUGUGUCUCGAUCAGUAAAGUGAGGCCAGCCCUGGCUGCGUGUCCCUCUAUGUCCGGCUGUCUAGCUCCGGCCCGGCUGGCUCCCGGAGGGGAACAGACAGUCCUGCUGCAGCAGGCAGGGGAAUUACACCCAAAACCCAGCGUCCCCACUUUGCUGCUGCCCCACAGCCAGUCGGGGCCUUUUACAGGAACUGCAUCCGCCCUGCACCUUCUCUCUGCUUGCACACACCCCUCCCGGGGUGAGGGAGAAACUCAACCUUCGCAGGUUGUUUCUGUUUCAUUCUGCAUCAUCCCUUCAGCCUCAGAGACGAGUCCAGCAAAGCCAGUUAAUCCCUAACACAAGCCGGGGCGGAUUUCCCACGGUGAAUUCCUCGACAGACGUCCCCCAGGGGCCUCCAGCGCGUAGGAACGAGCUCUCCACUGACUCCCUUCUCUACGUGACGCAUGGCGGUCAAUGUCAAACUCAUCCUGAUUGACAUCCUGGAAGAGCUGAGUGAGGAACAAUUCAAAAAAUUCAAAUGGCGUCUGGUGAAUGGAGAUGAUGACAAGACAAUACGCUAUUGCAAUUUGGAAUUAGCCGACCGGGAAAAGACCAUCGACGAGAUGCUGAGCCACUUUGAAAGCUCUGAUGCGGUGGAAAAAGCCAGGGAGGUCCUGGAAGCCGUACCUAGGAGAGAUCUCGCCGACAAGCUCAUGAAGAAAGUGCCAGUAGCAAAACAAGCUCGAGAGAGGAGAAAGGAGACGCUAAAGGAGCCCACAGAGGAGACGCUAAAGAAGACCACAGAGGAGGAGCUGAAGGAGCCCACAGAGGAGAAGCUAAAGAAGCUAGUGGAGCCCACAGAGAUAGAGCACAUAAGAGAAAUAUUGAUCAAUAACUAUUCAGAAGUGAAGAGGGCUUUUGUCCAACAGCGCCUUACUGCUAACCUCGAGACACUGAGAAAAGAUCAAUUUGAAAUGUUCAAAGAUGUGCUGUGCGAGACAUCCAUGAAGGACCUUGUCCGUGCAGGAGAUGAAUUUCUUGACGAACCCAAUACAUUCCAGAGGGACGCCAGCCUAGAAAACCUUGUCGAGGAUUUGAUAGGCAAAUUCGGCCGGACUUACGCACUGACAGCAGCUGCGACAGUGAUGGAAAAAAUAGGGAGAAGGGACCUCGCUAAAGAACUCCAGAGAGAAGAAGAAGUCCUGGAACCGACCCAGUGUCUGAGAAGAAAACCAAAAGGUGAAGUAGACCCAAAAGAGAAGUAGGAGAAGGUGUAUCUCUUAUAGGAGCCGGAGCUGUAGGAGGACUAUUUUCAGCAUUAGUAGCAGCCCCUAGGGCACCGCUGGCUUUUCCAGUUCCAGUCGCAGUAACAGCAGGUGUAGCAAUAGCGUGGGAGUAAAAUUCCUUUUUGACUGACAGCAAAGCCGCUGUAGGUUCCUUUUGCAGAUGGCUCUGAGAUUUUCCCUUCACUGCAUCCUACCCCCGGCUUCCUUCUAAGACAUCGCAGAGUUGGAAAGACACAGCCGCAAAUGCUGAUCUGAGCCCUCUAGCGAAUUCGAUAAAACGGCGAAUGCUUCUGUGACGUUGCACUCUAUAUGAUUUUAUGAAAAUAUGCUAAUGAGGGUGAAUAUACUGUAACUGGAAUAUGCUUCAUGCAAAAGGUCUCUUGUAAGGUAUCAUUACAAAGCUUAUAAUCUACUGAGUGUGAUCAUCCGAUUUGUAUAAAUGUAGCACUCGUGUAUCUGAAAUGAGAAAUAUGAAAUAUAACUCUGAGGGCCUGUUCUAAUUAUGCAAAGUGUGGGCCAUUAACGAUGGUUUGGAAUCUUGAUGGCUCCCAUCAACCAGGACAAUUGACUGUGGAUGGCUCUGUUUGCUGGCAGGCCUUCCUGGGAGUCAGGCUGGGAGGAAUGAGGGCUUGGGGGGGGGGUCUCCUAGGUCAUGUGAUCAUGUCACCUGAACUGGAAUCCAUCUUUAACCUGGUGCUUUUCCGUUGAGGAGGAGGGGUGGGAACCCAGAGAAGGAUAAAGGAUUCCCACCUUGUGCAAAAGAUAUAUAGGGGGGUGGAACAGAACAAAGGGGGCUGCAGUCAUGAGAAAUCCCCUAGCUACCACCUGAGCUGGAACAAGGGCUGGACCAGGAGGAAGGAUUGGGCCCAGACUAGGAAGGCGUCCAGUCUGUGAUAGAAACUUAUUGCAACAUCUGAGGGUGAGAUUUUAUCUGUAUUCAGUUUUCUUACUGUAUUAGGCUUAGACGUGUGUGUUUAUUACUUUAUUUUGCUGGUAAUUCACUUUGUUCUAUCUGUUAUUACUUGGAACCACUUAAAUCUUACUUUUUGUAUUUAAUAAAAUCACUUUUUACUUAUU